rnacentral:rRNA from 1 species
UACGUAGGGGGCUAGCGUUAUCCGGAAUUACUGGGCGUAAAGGGUGCGUAGGUGGUUUCUUAAGUCAGAGGUGAAAGGCUACGGCUCAAUCGUAGUAAGCCUUUGAAACUGGGGAACUUGAGUGCAGGAGAGGAGAGUGGAAUUCCUAGUGUAGCGGUGAAAUGCGUAGAUAUUAGGAGGAACACCAGUUGCGAAGGCGGCUCUCUGGACUGUAACUGACACUGAGGCACGAAAGCGUGGGGAGCAAACAGG